UUUUGAUGACGACCGGCGCACGGGUGCGUAACGCGUAUAGAACCUACCUUAUAUUGGGGGAUAGCCCAGAGAAAUUUGGAUUAAUACCCCAUGGUAUCAUUAUUUGGCAUCAUUUAGUGAUUAAAGAUUUAUCGAUAUAAGAUGGCUAUGCGUUCUAUUAGCUAGUUGGUUAGGUAACGGCUGACCAAGGCUACGAUAGAUAGGGGUCCUGAGAGGGAGAUCCCCCACACUGGUACUGAGACACGGACCAGACUCCUACGGGAGGCAGCAGUGAGGAAUAUUGGACAAUGGAGGCAACUCUGAUCCAGCCAUGCCGCGUGCAGGAAGACUGCCCUAUGGGUUGUAAACUGCUUUUAUAGAGGAAGAAACCGCUCUACGUGUAGAGCUCUGACGGUACUCUACGAAUAAGGAUCGGCUAACUCCGUGCCAGCAGCCGCGGUAAUACGGAGGAUCCAAGCGUUAUCCGGAAUCAUUGGGUUUAAAGGGUCCGUAGGCGGGCUUGUAAGUCAGUGGUGAAAGUUUGCGGCUCAACCGCAAAAUUGCCAUUGAUACUGCAGGUCUUGAAUCAUUAUGAAGUGGUUAGAAUAAGUAGUGUAGCGGUGAAAUGCAUAGAUAUUACUUAGAAUACCGAUUGCGAAGGCAGAUCACUAAUAAUGUAUUGACGCUAAGGGACGAAAGCGUGGGUAGCGAACAGGAUUAGAUACCCUGGUAGUCCACGCCGUAAACGAUGGUUACUAGCUGUUCGGUUUUCGGACUGAGUGGCUAAGCGAAAGUGAUAAGUAACCCACCUGGGGAGUACGUUCGCAAGAAUGAAACUCAAAGGAAUUGACGGGGGCCCGCACAAGCGGUGGAGCAUGUGGUUUAAUUCGAUGAUACGCGAGGAACCUUACCA
rnacentral:rRNA from 1 species